rnacentral:lncRNA from 1 species
CAGAGCCUGUUUCCUUUAGGUGAGGACGGCUGGCCAUCUUCAUGCCCCUCUGCUGUCCUCCACCGAGUCCCAGUGACUGACUUACCGGCCUGGCUUCCGAGAUAGAGAACCCAUUUGGAGCUUGGUGCCUUAAACAACAACCAUUUACCUACCUCAGAAUUCUGGUUUAUGUGUACAUAAUUUUAACCAUACGUGUUUGAGGAAGAACAGAAAGCCCCAUCGUAUGUAGGAUACUGAA